UGCCCUUUACUAAACUGUACAAGAUCCAGCGAUAUUCUAGGCUUGAUCCCUGUGGGACACCUUUCCCUACACCAUGUCCGGGAGCCAUAAUUCCAGGGAGUUUGUAACCCUCUAGAGCGGGCCUCUGUUGCUGUUUCUUAGCAACAGACGAACUGGAAAAUGACCAGUACAAAAUGCACAGACUUUAACUACUCUACCUCCAGCUUACAUUCUACCAGGCCCUUAGUCCCACAGACAGGAACCAAAGCCAGCAGAACAAAGCAGCCCCAGAUGUGUUCUACUCUAUUAUCUGAAGUAAAUGAAAAUCAACCCUGAGGUAGAGAACCUCCUUCUACUACCAUCAAAGUCCUUGAUCUGUUUCCCAACAUGAAUUAACCUUUCCAUGUUUUCGUUACAUUUGAACAUCAGGAAUGUGUAGACGGAAGCAGUUCAUCCUGGGAGGACUUCAAGCAGUAGAAUGAGGCCAACCUGCAAAACUGACCUGUCAUGCCCUGCCUCACCAUCUUAUCCAGUCCUGGACUCAACCAGCUGAACUAAUCCCUAAACCACCAAGUCUACCUUAGAAAAACAGUUCUGGAGGCUGCAAGUCCAAGAUCAAGGUGUCACCAUCAUUGGUUGCUUCUGGGGGCUGUUGAGAAAGAACGUGUUCCAUGCCUCCCACCUAGCAUCUAAAGAAGUGACAUCUUAUUGAUGAGUUGUGGAGAAGCUGCUGAACAUGCAUCUGUAUUUGGGAGACUGUCUGCAGAGAGUACAUAUUCUCAGCUCCUACAAGCUAUAAAGCACUUAGGAUCCAUUGUGUCAGAGCGUGUAACAGGGACCAUCAACUCAACAUUUCCUACUAAAUACGGGCACAAUGAUGACCUUGAUAAGAACCGUUUGAGUGGAGUAAACACUGACUGGAGUGAGUUGAAGAGAAAAUAAGAGGUGGAAAAAAUA